UGGCAAUUCCCCAAGGGCACCCUAACACAUUGUGUUGCAACUGCCCGUUCACUGGUGUGAGAGAGGAAGGUCAAAAUGUACGUGCCUAGACUCAGGUGCAAAAAAAUCAUCAAGUGAAACUUUUUCUGUAAAGGACCUCAUGUUAUUUUAAAAUUCUCAUGUCACCUACAAAUGGGUGGAAGAAAACCCUUGAAAUUGCUAUCCCGUGUAUCACUUUUAAUUUAAAAAAUCUUGAAAAUAUUUAGUCAAUUCAAAGCUCCAUCUCCCUUCAGAGCUGCCUCUGGUCUCUCAGGGUUCUUCUCUUCAGGAUCUCCUUCUCUCCCAGAAGGCAUCUGAGCCUAGGAGCACUUUGUGGUUGUAGCAAAAGGGGUCUCUGCUCUGAAUCCUGCCUCUUCUGGGCAUCCUUUGUUGUCCCUUGAGGUGUGGCUGGUGCCUUCUGCAUGGUUUGAGCCUUGUGCCGGGGCUCAGUGCUGACUGUGCCCACUCAAUGCCCUUUGUGAGGUUUCUGCUCUCUGUGGCCUUCUUGUCCCAACCUCAGGCCUCCACAUGUGACUUCUGCACCUCAUCUCUGGGAUGGUUUCAGUGGGUCCUAGAUUGCUUUCUGUGCUCCCUGGGACAGUUGGUGGCACUCUGUGAGCCUACUCUCAGCAUGGUGUUGCGGAGAAUCCCAGAGAUCUGAAUCCCAGGAGAAGUCAGCCCAUCCUGCUGUUCGUGGGAAUCUAUAAAGGAGGUGCACAAAGCUCCAGUUGCCCCUGAUUUGAGAGAUGUCUCCAGAGCAGCACUUGUUCCUGGUAAGACCUCCCAUUCCCUCAUCAAGACUUAGACCAAAACAUUUAAAAGUUGCUUCCCCAUCUCCAAGGCUCUUAGAUUCAUGUCCUCCUUUGGCUCCUAUCCAAUGAUGAUUUCACCUCUAACAACUAGAUGUCAAGCUGCAAACACUCUAAGCACCAACUUCUUUCUUUCCAGUUGUUUUUAAUUAGUACCCCUAUUCCAAUAAUUUACUGCCCUCAUCUAGACCUCUAAGCCAUUUGCAACCCAUCACAUUCUUGUGUGCCCACUUCCGAUGUUAUCCAGCUUUGCAUCCAUGGGCCAUUAAUACAAUAGUUCCUUGCAUGCACCCUCAAUUCCUUAGACCAUAGGCCAGCAAACUAAGGAUCUCAGGACAAAUCAGUUCACUGCCUGUUUUUAUAAGUAAUGUUUUAUUGGGACCUGGCCACACCAUUUGUUUAUGUAUUGUCUAUGACUGCUUUUGCACUAAAAUGGCAAAUUGAGUAGUUGUGACAAACUGUAUGGUUACAAAGUGAGCCUAAAAUAUCUACUGUCUGACCCUUUGCAGGAAAAGUUUGAUAGCCUGUGCCCAAGACGCUCUCCAACUUACUCACUUGGAAGGACUCCAGCUCUCCAUUUAUUCUUUACUGGUCCUGAGCAGUAGAGUAGGCUAAACAAAAACCCACACUUAAGCUGAAGAUGCUCAACUUUAACACAUGACUGCUACUUUCAAGUAAGCCUUAUUUCUCCCAUUAUCUCAGAUUACUACUGCACAUCUUCUCUUUCCUUAAAACUCCAAUUACCCCUUUCCUCUUCUCAUUCUUAGCUUAUAAAAUAAUUAUCAGAAAAAGAACUACCCUGUCAGCCACCACCACAUCUACCAACCUAUUGACAUCUCUGCCCAUCUUCUCUGUGUUCCCUCUUAUUUAUUUAUUUAUUUAUUUAUUUAUUUAUUUAUUUAUUUUCAGAUGGAGUCUCACUCUGUCGCUGGAGUGCAGUGGCUCCAUCUCGGCUCACUGUAACCUCCACCUCCCGGGUUCACGCCACUCUCCUGCCUCAGCCUCCUGAGUAGCUGGGACUACAGGCACCCGCCACCAUGCCUGGCUAAUUUUUUGUAUUUUUAGUAGAGACGGGGUUUCACUGUGUUAGCCAGGAUGGUCUCGAUCUCAUGACUUCGUGAUCCGCCUGCCUCUUUUUACAAUGCUUAACUAGGUCUACUCCUAGCUGAGGCCAACCACUUGACAUGUGGGUUGAAUUUUGUGUUAGUUGACAGGA
ensembl:lincRNA